AUGCAAGUCGAACGGACUAUCUUUUGAACGAGAUGCGAUUACAUCAAGUCGAGGGAUUUUGAUAGUUAGUGGCAAACGAGAUUAGUAACACCUUGGUAUCUACCCUUUUGUCGGGCACAACGAGUCGAAAGAUUCGCUAAUUCCCGAUGGCCCCGUAAGAGUAAAGUCGCAAGACGCAAAAGGAGGAGCCUAGGUCCCAUCAGCUAGUUGGUGAGGUAAUAGCUCACCAAGGCUAUGACGGGUAGGGGGCGUGAGAGCGUGUACCCCAACGACGGUACUGAGACACGGACCGUACACCUACGGGUGGCAGCAGUCGAGAAUAUUCCGCAAUGGACGAAAGUCUGACGGAGCAACGCCGCGUGCAGGAAGAAGGCCUUCGGGUCGUAACUGCUUUUGCGUGGGAAGAAUACUGACGGUACCACGAGAAUAAGGGGCUGCUAACUUCGUGCCAGCAGCAGCGGUAAUACGAAGGCCCCGAGCGUUAUCCGGAAUUACUGGGCGUAAAGAGCGAGCAGGUGCGAUUAUAGUCUGAUGUUAAAUCUCAUCGCUUAACGGUGAGGCCGCAUGAGAAACGUAAUCGCUUGAGCGGGUUAGAGGCAAGCAGAACGUGUGGUGUAGGGGUGAAAUCCGUUGAUAUCACACGGAAUACCAAAAGCGAAGGCAGCUUGCUAGGACUUUGCUGACACUCAGUCGCGAAAGCGUGGGGAUCAAAAAGGAUUAGAUACCCUUGUAGUCCACGCCCUAAACGAUCCAAACUGGCUAUCGGGAGCAUCGACCCUCUCGGUGGCGAAGCUAACGCGUUAAGUUUGGCGCCUGGGAAGUACGAUCGCAAGAUUAAAACUCAAAGAAAUAGGCGGGGACUCGCACAAGCGGUGGAUCAUGCGGUUCAAUUCGACACAGAGCGAAAAACCUCACCAGGGCUUGAAAUCCAGCUGCAUAUUUUGGAAACAAAAUAGCCUUCGAGGGUGCUGGACAGGUGCUGCACGGCUGUCGUCAGCUCGUCAUGUGAAUGGUUCCCUUAAGUGGGGAAACGAGCGCAACCCCCGUUCCGUGUUAUAUGUGUCACGGGAGACUGCCCGGGUUGACCGGGAGGAAGGAGGGGAUGAUGUCAAGUCAGCGUGGCCCUUUGAUGCCCUGGGCUACACGCAUGAUACAAUGGGAAGUAACAAUGGGUCGCCAAACCGUAAGGUGGAGCUAAUCCCAUCAAACCUUCCCCCAGUUCAGAUUGGAGGCUGAAACUUGCCUCCAUGAAGUUGGAAUCGCUAGUAAUCGCAGAUCAGCACGCUGCGGUGAAUACGUUCUCGAGUCUUGCACUCACCGCCCGUCAACUCAAGGGAGCCGGGAAUACCCGAAGGUCCGUAUUAUUUGUGGAACUACGGUAGGCUCGGUGACAGGGAGU
rnacentral:rRNA from 1 species